GAGUUUGAUCCUGGCUCAGAUUGAACGCUGGCGGCAUGCUUUACACAUGCAAGUCGAACGGCAGCACGGGCUUCGGCCUGGUGGCGAGUGGCGAACGGGUGAGUAAUGCGUCGGAACGCGCCGAGUAGUGGGGGAUAACGCAGCGAAAGCUGUGCUAAUACCGCAUACGUACUGAGGUAGAAAGUGGGGGACCUUCGGGCCUCACGCUAUUCGAGCGGCCGACGUCUGAUUAGCUAGUUGGUGGGGUAAAGGCUCACCAAGGCAACGAUCAGUAGCGGGUCUGAGAGGAUGAUCCGCCACACUGGGACUGAGACACGGCCCAGACUCCUACGGGAGGCAGCAGUGGGGAAUUUUGGACAAUGGGCGCAAGCCUGAUCCAGCCAUGCCGCGUGUCUGAAGAAGGCCUUCGGGUUGUA
rnacentral:rRNA from 1 species